rnacentral:rRNA from 1 species
UGCGCUUUGGGAGGGUCUCGCGGCCUAUCAGCUUGUUGGUGAGGUAACGGCUCACCAAGGCAUCGACGGGUAGCUGGUCUGAGAGGACGAUCAGCCACACUGGGACUGAGACACGGUCCAUACUCCUACGGGAGGCAGCAGUAAGGAAUAUUCCGCAAUGGACGAAAGUCUGACGGAGCGACACCGCGUGGAGGACGACACCUUUCGGGGCGUAAACUCCUUUUCUGAGUGAAUAAGUUCUGAAAUUAACUCAGGAAUAAGUGACGGCUAACUACGUGCCAGCAGCCGCGGUAAUACGUAGGUCGCAAGCAUUAACCGGAAUUAUUGGGCGUAAAGGGUCCGUAGCCGGAAAAGAAAGUCUGAUGUUAAAACACGGUGCUCAACACCGUGAUCGUAUUGGAAACUUCUUAUCUAGAGUUAUUCAUAGGUGCGUGGAAUUUCUUGUGUAGGGGUAAAAUCCGUAGAUACAAGAAGGAACACCAAAAGCGAAGGCAGCGCACUGGGGAUAUACUGACGGUCAGGGACGAAAGCGUGGGGAGCGAAGAGGAUUAGAUA